rnacentral:lncRNA from 1 species
GGAGGAGUCACCCCACAUCUUUAGUCACAGGCUGUGGGGGAAAGAGGAGUGAGCUUCUAUGGAGGCCAAGGACCCUGAGGCACAUCCUGAGCUCAGACCAUGGGAAAGGGACAAUAAGACAUUUGCCUGCUCCUAUUCUGUCCUCUGUCCAGAUACUACUAUGUUGAUGAUUAGGUUGAACUAUGCAAAACUGAUGAUUUUUGACCUACAAAAAGUGGCCCAUCACAUGAUCCUGCCUGAUCACUCCUGCCUAACUACUGAAGCUCAUCUCCCCCAGGCUGGACUGUACUGCCGCAAUCUCGGCUCACUGCAACCUCCCUGCCUGAUUCUCCUGCCUCAGCCUGCC